AAACGUGUUUUCUUAAUUUUUGCUUAUUGUUACUUCACUUCGAUGUUUGAGCUUCAAUGUGCAGAAUGAUGUAUGUUCAGAGUUUGACACUAGAAGGCUGUUCUCACAUGUUUCUGCUGUAG